rnacentral:tRNA from 1 species
UCCCCUGUGACUCAGUGGUAAAGAAUCAGCCUGCAAUGCAGGAGACCCAGGUUCGAUCCCUGGGUAGGGAA